rnacentral:misc_RNA from 1 species
UGUAGGAGCGGGCUUGCCCGCGAUGGCGGUGUGUCAGAAGACACAUGAGUUGGCUGACCCACUGCCAUCGCGGGCAAGCCCGCUCCCACA